GGUUCUGUGGUGUAGUGGUUAUCACAUCUGCUUCACACGCAGAAGGCCGUUGGUUCAAUUUCGGCCGGAAUCA